UACGUAGGGUGCAAGCGUUGUCCGGAAUUAUUGGGCGUAAAGAGCUCGUAGGCGGUUUGUCGCGUCUGCUGUGAAAACCCGAGGCUCAACCUCGGGCCUGCAGUGGGUACGGGCAGACUAGAGUGCGGUAGGGGAGACUGGAAUUCCUGGUGUAGCGGUGAAAUGCGCAGAUAUCAGGAGGAACACCGGUGGCGAAGGCGGGUCUCUGGGCAACUACUGACGCUGAGGAGCGAAAGCGUGGGGAGCGAACAGG
rnacentral:rRNA from 1 species